GAACAAGAAGUCGUGACUGACCCUGUCGAACGCUUUCUCCUGAUCAACGUUCAACAAGCACAAAGUUGCUGAGGUUCCUGCAACCGGAUGCCCAGCGGUGCGAGACUCAUCAGCUGGAGCCUCUCUCGAAGUAGCCACCGGAAAAGCUGUCGGGAGGGUCCCACAUAAGAUAUUCUCCUGAUGUGUCUUCCGUCCCUGACCUCUCUUCCUCCGCAGAUGAAGAAAACUCCGGCAGAUCCCUGCACUCCACGUCCAAAGACACAUCGGAGAU